ensembl:snRNA U6 U6 spliceosomal RNA
AUUCUCACUUUAGCAGCACAUGUAUCAAAAUUAGAACAAGACAGAGAAGAUUAGCAUGGCCCCUAUGCAAGGAUGACACACGAGUUUGUGAAGCAUUCCAUUGUUUU